rnacentral:lncRNA from 1 species
AUAAAAUGGUUGUUAUGAGGCUUGGAUUGGUUUUGAGUGUUUGUGUCUAAACAUACUUGAGCUGGAAUUGAAUCUUGCUAGCCAAAAGUUUCUUGGAGCUGCAAAAGUUGUCGAAUGAAAAGUGCAGCAGAAAACAAGAAAAUUCUGAAUUUUCUUUGUAUGUAGCAUUGCCGGAACUUGCAGGAUUGCAUUUUAGUUAUGGGCCUUGUUGCUUAGUUUCAUGACAUUAUUUUGAUCAAAAAUUGUGUUUUCAGAGCAAGCUGCGUUUGAAAUUUGUUUUGGCUGCUGAAAUCUUAAGGGCAAAGUGUCGAAAAA